CCUACGGGAGGCAGCAGUGAGGAAUAUUGGUCAAUGGCCGAGAGGCUGAACCAGCCAAGUCGCGUGAGGGAAGACGGCCCUACGGGUUGUAAACCUCUUUUGUCGGGGAGCAAAGCGAACCACGUUUGGUUCAUUGAGAGUACCCGAAGAAAAAGCAUCGGCUACCUCCGUGCCAGCAGCCGCGGUAAUACGGAGGAUGCGAGCGUUAUCCGGAUUUAUUGGGUUUACGGGGUGCGUAGGCGGAAGGUUCAGUCAGCGGUAAAAUGUCGGUGCUCAACACCGGCCUGCCGUUGAAACUGGUCUUCUUGAGUGAGCGAGAAGUAUGCGGAAUGCGUGGUGUAGCGGUGAAAUGCAUAGAUAUCACGCAGAACUCCGAUUGCGAAGGCAGCAUACCGGCGCUCAACUGACGCUGAGGCACGAAAGCGUGGGGAUCGAACAGGAUUAGAUACCCUAGUAGUC
rnacentral:rRNA from 1 species